UGGAAAAAUCUAUAAAGCUCAGGAGGGAUAGCGCCAUUUAUUACACCAUAUAUUAUACAUAUUCUCUCCGUUUCUAACUACUAAAAUGUGCGUACGCGUAUGUAAUAAGGCGCUAUCUAUCCUGAGUUUCAUGGGUUCUUCUU
rnacentral:pre_miRNA from 1 species